GUCAAUAUCGGAAAAAUUUAAAUUUGUAUUAUCUCGAUAACAACACUAACAUGUUUGUCACACGACUCAUUGUGAAGCAGCUUUGAAUAAUCAAUAGAUAUAGGAAGAUGUGGUAUGAGUGCCAAUGAGACAACUCCCCAUCCAAGUUACGAUUUAUAAAAGUAAACCAUUAUAGGCCAAGGUACGGCCUUCAACACGGAGCAAGUUGCUUUCAAGAAUCGCCUAUCAUUAGAUCGAUUUUACACAUCUGUUCCCACAAAUUUAAAUUUGAUAUCAGAAUUGACACAAUAUUAACAUACAUGUAUAUGCAAAUUUUUUUUGAUUUCUAGACUUUCCUCCUGUUCAGUAUUUUUGCUAUUACAUUUUGCGUUUUUGACUUUUGUGGGUUACAUGUAGUCUACAAUCAUGCAGGUUUUUCAUUGGUGGACGUAACAUUAGCAGAUACAUUUCUGAUGGAAAUUGGAGAUGGAUUCGGAAUGGAGAGAUGACCAAGAUGAAUUACUUUGCAUUCGCUGCAGGACAACCAAACGGAUCUUUUGGUAGCCCACGAGACUGUUUGAUACUCUAUGUUCCUGAUCGUUAUAACCUCUAUGACGAUUAUUGCGUCUCCUCCUUGGCAGGAUUUAUCUGCGAAUAGUAAUUCUAUUAAAAUCAGUUGUUAAUUUUC